AUACGGAGGGUGCAAGCGUUACUCGGAAUCACUGGGCGUAAAGCGCGCGCAGGCGGCUAUUUAAGUUGGAUGUGAAAGCCUAUGGCUCAACCAUAGAACUGCAUCCAAAACUAUUUAGCUAGAGUGUGGGAGAGGAAGAUGGAAUUAGUUGUGUAGGGGUAAAAUCCGUAGAGAUAACUAGGAAUACCAAAAGCGAAGGCAAUCUUCUGGAACACUACUGACGCUGAGGCGCGAAGGCGUGGGGAGCAAACAGGAUUAGAAACCCUAGUAGUCC
rnacentral:rRNA from 1 species